rnacentral:rRNA from 1 species
AGAGUUUGAUCCUGGCUCAGGGUGAACGCUGGCGGCGUGCUUGACACAUGCAAGUCGAACGGUAUGUGGCAACACAUAGAGUGGCGAACGGGUGAGUAACACGUGGGAACGUAUCUUUUGCAGGGGGAUAACUGACCGAAAGGACAGCUAAUACCGCAUAAGUCCGAGAGGAGAAAGGUGCAACAGCAUCGGCAGAAGAGCGGCCCGCGGUCCAUCAGCUAGUUGGUGAGGUAAGGGCUUACCAAGGCGACGACGGAUAGCCGGCGUGAGAGCGUGGCCGGCCACAAGGACACUGAGAUACGGGUCCUACUCCUACGGGAGGCAGCAGUGCGGAAUUUUAGAUAAUGGAGGGAACUCUGAUCUAGCGACGCCGCGUGCAGGAAGAAGGUCUUCGGAUUGUAAACUGCUGUGGUAAGGGAAAAAUGCUAUGUAGAGUGGAAAGCUACAUAGAGGGAUGGUACCUUACUAGAAAGCCCCGGCUAACUACGUGCCAGCAGCCGCGGUAAUACGUAGGGGGCGAGCGUUACCCGGAAUCACUGGGCGUAAAGGGAGCGUAGGUGGCCUAACAUGUCAACUGUGAAAACCCGGAGCUCAACUCCGGACUUGCAGUUGAAACUGGUAGGCUUGAGGACGGUAGAGGAAGACGGAACUGCCAGUGUAGGGGUAAAAUCCUUAGAUAUUGGCAGGAACGCCGGUGACGAAGGUGGUUUUCUGGGCCGGUUCUGACACUGAUGCUCGAAAGCCAGGGGAGCGAACGGGAUUAGAUACCCCGGUAGUCCUGGCCCUAAACGAUGUUCACUAGGUGUGGGGAGCGGAAAGCUCUCCGUGCUAAAGCUAACGCGAUAAGUGAACCGCCUGGGGAGUACGCCCGCAAGGGUGAAACUCAAUGAAUUGACGG